AAAGGGGGGGACCUAGAAAACAUCAGUCUUGAACUUCUUCCUCUUCAAGAGCUCGGGCUGCAAAGGAAACCUCCUUUGUUUUUGUUAUUUAUAUGCUGUCAAGUUUUGAAGUGGUGAUCUUUAGAGGCGGGACUGAGUAUGGAUCAUUUGAACGAGGCAACUCAGGGGAAAGAACAUUCAGAAAUGUCUAACAAUGUAAGCGAUCCGAAGGGUCCACCAGCCAAAAUUGCGCGCUUGGAACAGAAUGGGAGCCCAUUAGGAAGAGGAAGACUUGGAAGUACAGGAACUAAAAUGCAAGGAGUGCCUUUAAAACACUCUGGACACCUGAUGAAAACUAAUAUUAGAAAAGGAAGUAUGCUUCCAGUUUUCUGUGUAGUGGAACAUUAUGAAAAUGCCAUUGAGUAUGAUUCUAAGGAGGAGCAUGCAGAAUUUGUGUUGGUGAGGAAGGAUAUGCUUUUCAACCAACUGAUUGAAAUGGCAUUGCUAUCGCUUGGAUAUUCUCACAGCUCUGCUGCCCAAGCAAAAGG